AUACGUAGGGAGCGAGCGUUGUCCGGAUUUACUGGGUGUAAAGGGUGCGUAGGCGGCUCUGCAAGUCAGGUGUGAAAACCAUCGGCUUAACUGAUGGACUGCAUUUGAAACUGUGGGGCUUGAGUGGAGUAGAGGCAGACGGAAUUCCCGGUGUAGCGGUGAAAUGCGUAGAGAUCGGGAAGAACACCAGUGGCGAAGGCGGUCUGCUGGGCUCUAACUGACGCUGAGGCACGAAAGCAUGGGUAGCAAACAGGAUUAGAUACCCUGGUAGUCCAUGCCGUAAACGAUGAUUACUAGGUGUGGGGAGUCUGACCCUCUCCGUGCCGGAGUUAACACAAUAAGUAUCCCGCCUGGGGAGUACGGCCGCAAGGUUGAA
rnacentral:rRNA from 1 species